GGGGGCUUAGAUCAGUGGUAGAUCGUCUGCUUUGCAUGCAGAAGGCCGCGGGUUCAAACCCCGCAGCCUCCA